AUGAACGCUAGCGGCAGGCCUAACACAUGCAAGUCGAGGGGCAUCGGGAUUGAAGCUUGCUUCAAUUGCCGGCGACCGGCGCACGGGUGCGUAACGCGUAUGUAACCUACCUAUAACAGGGGCAUAACACUGAGAAAUUGGUACUAAUUCCCCAUAAUAUUCGGAGAGGCAUCUCUCCGGGUUGAAAACUCCGGUGGUUAUAGAUGGACAUGCGUUGUAUUAGCUAGUUGGUGAGGUAACGGCUCACCAAGGCAACGAUACAUAGGGGGACUGAGAGGUUAACCCCCCACACUGGUACUGAGACACGGACCAGACUCCUACGGGAGGCAGCAGUGAGGAAUAUUGGUCAAUGGACGCAAGUCUGAACCAGCCAUGCCGCGUGCAGGAAGACGGCUCUAUGAGUUGUAAACUGCUUUUGUACGAGGGUAAACUCACCUACGUGUAGGUGACUGAAAGUAUCGUACGAAUAAGGAUCGGCUAACUCCGUGCCAGCAGCCGCGGUAAUACGGAGGAUUCAAGCGUUAUCCGGAUUUAUUGGGUUUAAAGGGUGCGUAGGCGGUUUGAUAAGUUAGAGGUGAAAUCCCGGGGCUUAACUCCGGAACUGCCUCUAAUACUGUUAGACUAGAGAGUAGUUGCGGUAGGCGGAAUGUAUGGUGUAGCGGUGAAAUGCUUAGAGAUCAUACAGAACACCGAUUGCGAAGGCAGCUUACCAAACUAUAUCUGACGUUGAGGCACGAAAGCGUGGGGAGCAAACAGGAUUAGAUACCCUGGUAGUCCACGCAGUAAACGAUGAUAACUCGUUGUCGGCGAUACACAGUCGGUGACUAAGCGAAAGCGAUAAGUUAUCCACCUGGGGAGUACGUUCGCAAGAAUGAAACUCAAAGGAAUUGACGGGGGCCCGCACAAGCGGAGGAACAUGUGGUUUAAUUCGAUGAUACGCGAGGAACCUUACCCGGGCUUGAAAGUUACUGACGAUUCUGGAAACAGGAUUUCCCUUCGGGGCAGGAAACUAGGUGCUGCAUGGUUGUCGUCAGCUCGUGUCGUGAGAUGUUGGGUUAAGUCCCGCAACGAGCGCAACCCCUGUGAUUAGUUGCCAGCGAGUAAUGUCGGGAACUCUAAUCAAACUGCCGGUGAUAAAUCGGAGGAAGGUGGGGACGACGUCAAAUCAUCAUGCCCUUUAUGUCUUGGGCUACACACGUACUACAAUGGCUAUAACAAAGAGAAGCGAGACAGUGAUGUGGAGCAAAACUCAAAAAAAUAGUCUCAGUUCGGAUUGAAGGCUGAAAUUCGCCUUCAUGAAGCUGGAAUUGCUAGUAAUGGCAGGUCAGCAUACUGCCGUGAAUACGUUCCCGGGCCUUGUACACACCGCCCGUCACACCAUGGGAGUCAGUAACGCCCGAAGUCAGUGACCCAACCGUAAGGAGGGAGCUGCCGAAGGUGGGACCGAUAACUGGGGUG
rnacentral:rRNA from 1 species